CUCUGCUAGCGAUAUGGUCUCCUUGGCUGCUCGGAGAACCUCUGUGGCACGUUGGAAAUCUUGUGUUGCCCUCUGUGCUUCCAACUGAGCCUAUAUGAUCGAAUAAAAACAGAAAAAAUCAGGUCCUCAGCAAAUGCUAGUGCCUCCUAUUCAACUUGAUUAGGACUUUGUGUAAGAACCACAUUCACUCCAUAAAUGCUUCACUGACAUGGAAUUAAAGUAUUUUAGGAAUUGGGUCAGGAUUUUCCCCACUUAAUCUAGUAACAAGAUAAGGCAGUAGCAGAUGGUGACCCAGUAUGAGCGAUCGGCAAAUGUAAAGGAACCAGCGAUAAUUUAAGGUGAGGUAAAGGAACAAGAUGAUAGCCACAACUUUAACCAUUCAUUU